GUUUAUCUGUGUGUAGAUGGUAUUCAGCAUCAAGGACAGAUCUGAUCUAAUGUGUGGAUGGUGUUCAGCACCAAGGACAGGUCUGUUCAAAU
rnacentral:pre_miRNA from 1 species